UCAACCACAACAUUUCAAUAUACAUUGCAGAAGAUGAGCAAAAUCAUUUAGGCAAACAAAUUAGAAGUGCUUAGCAUGACUGUUAAGUAACCUUCAAUGUUGAGAAAGACAACACAAUCUUAUCAAAUCAACGAAAUACUAAAGAUAUUGCCAAAGGAAGAGUUCAAAUAAGAAUGACUCUUCCUUUUCGAAUGGGACUUUGGUGGAUGUUCUUGAUGAGGGGGAAAGAGCAGUAUAUGUACUACCCUCAAGGUCACAUGGAAGAAACAAUUCUCCAACUAACAAGAACUCUCCAUUUGUCCUCAAUAAAAAGGGAAAGCAUCAACUAUGCUAUGACUCGAGACUUCAACAAAAGUGUAGGAUCAUUCAAGAAUGACAUGGUGCUAUAAAAUAUGCGAUAACUAUGAGUGAGGCUAGUUUCAUAACAUGGCUUUUUUCAUUUUGGCUAGACAUAAAAUGACUUCGAUCAAUGCUUAAACUAAAUCACAUUCACAUGAUUUUAACUCAAAGUUCUAUAUUUAUCUAUAUGUAUAUAUACGCACUAUAUAUCAAACAAUAAAGGCUCUCUGUUUUCUUUUCUUA